CUGCCACUAACACGCAGCACAUAUACUAAAAUUGGGAUGAUACAGAGAAGAUUAGCAUGGCCCCUGCACAAAGAUGACACGCAAGUUACAAAACACAGUACCUAAAAUU